rnacentral:rRNA from 1 species
GAUGAACGCUGGCGGCGUGCUUAACACAUGCAAGUCGAACGGAAAGGCUCCUGCUUGCCGGGGUACUCGAGUGGCGAACGGGUGAGUAACACGUGGGUGAUCUGCCCUGCACUUCGGGAUAAGCCUGGGAAACUGGGUCUAAUACCGGAUAGGACCUCAUUUUGGAUGGUGUGGUGGAAAGUUUUUCGGUGUGGGAUGAGCUCGCGGCCUAUCAGCUUGUUGGUGGGGUAAUGGCCUACCAAGGCGUCGACGGGUCGCCGGCCUGAGAGGGUGUACGGCCACAUUGGGACUGAGAUACGGCCCAGACUCCUACGGGAGGCAGCAGUGGGGAAUAUUGCACAAUGGGCGCAAGCCUGAUGCAGCGACGCCGCGUGGGGGAUGACGGCCUUCGGGUUGUAAACUCCUUUCGCUAGGGACGAAGCGCAAGUGACGGUACCUGGAGAAGAAGCACCGGCUAACUACGUG